CCCUUAGAUGUUCUGGGCUGCACGCGCGCUACACUGAUGCACUCAACGAGUUUACGACCUUGCCCGAUAGGGUUGGGUAAUCUUUUUAAAAUGCAUCGUGAUGGGGAUAGAUUAUUGCAAUUAUUAAUCUUCAACGAGGAAUUCCUAGUAAGCGCGAGUCAUCAGCUCGUGCUGAUUACGUCCCUGCCCUUUGUACACACCGCCCGUCGCAGCAACUGAUUGGGUGACCUGGUGAACAUCUUGGACCGGUCCACUCAAUUUCGAGAGGACUGGAAAAGGCCGUAAAUCAGGUACAUCUAGAAAUUGCAAAAGUCGUAACA
rnacentral:rRNA from 1 species